rfam:Phlebiopsis gigantea 11061_1 CR5-6 unplaced genomic scaffold PHLGIscaffold_378, whole genome shotgun sequence.
UCCGAUAUGGUGUAACGGCUAACAUUAUCGCCUUUCACGCGAUAGCUCGGGGUUCGAUUCCCCGUAUCGGAG